rnacentral:rRNA from 1 species
GACGAACGCUGGCGGCGUGCUUAACACAUGCAAGUCGAACGGAAAGGCCCUGCUUUUGUGGGGUGCUCGAGUGGCGAACGGGUGAGUAACACGUGAGUAACCUGCCCUUGACUUUGGGAUAACUUCAGGAAACUGGGGCUAAUACCGGAUAGGAGCUCCUGCUGCAUGGUGGGGGUUGGAAAGUUUCGGCGGUUGGGGAUGGACUCGCGGCUUAUCAGCUUGUUGGUGGGGUAGUGGCUUACCAAGGCUUUGACGGGUAGCCGGCCUGAGAGGGUGACCGGCCACAUUGGGACUGAGAUACGGCCCAGACUCCUACGGGAGGCAGCAGUGGGGAAUAUUGCACCAUGGGCGGAAGUCUGAUGCAGCAACGCCGCGUGCGGGAUGACGGCCUUCGGGUUGUAAACCGCUUUCGCCUGUGACGAAGCGUGAGUGACGGUAAUGGGUAAAGAAGCACCGGCUAACUACGUG